CAUUCUAGAACAAUCUCCCUAACUUAUCAGCAUAGUUACAUUUCACACAGGUCCAUACACAAGAUACUUGUUUUCAGAAAUGUAGCUCUAUGGUUGUUGUCUUGCUCUGGUAAUUAGUUCAACUUUUGUGUUUUUUUUCUUCUUUUUUUAGUAUUUACAUUUUACUAACUGAUUUCAAGACACCCAAAACUGUGGCCAGCACUGUAAAAACGUCCCAAAUCAUACAUUAUAUUUAACCGUAUGUUACGUGCGGCAGCGUAGCCUAGUGGUUAGAGCGUUGGACAAGUAACCCGAAAGGUUGCAAGAUCGAAUCCCUGAGCUGACAAGGUACAAAUCUGUUGUUCUGCUCCUGAACAAGACAGUUAACCCACUGUUCCUAGGCCGUCAUUAAAAAUAAGAAUUUGUUCUUAACUGACUUGACUCGUAAAAUAAAGGUUAAAUUAAAAUGUACAUUAUAUUUAACUAAAUAAUAUUAUAUUUAAAAAUGUUAUGUACACCACACGGCACGUUUAUCAAGUUUUAUUAUAGUCAUUAUAUCACAUCUGUGACCUUUAAUAACUACACUAUGUGUCACGCCUUGGUCAUUGUAUUUUGUGUUUUCGUUAUAUAUUUGGUUAGGCCAGGGUGUGACAUGGGUUUAUAUAUUAUAUUUUCGUAUUGGGGUUUGUAGUAUUUGGGAUUGUGGCUGAGUAGGGGUGUUGUUUAGGUUUGGCUGCCUGAGGCGGUUCUCAAUUAGAGUCAGGUGAUUCUCGUUGUCUCUGAUUGGGAACCAUAUUUAGGUAGCCUGGUUUUCACUUUGUAUUUCGUGGGUGAUUGUUCCUGUCUCUGUGUUAGUGUUCACCAGACAGGCUGUAUAGGUUUUUCAUGUUCCGUUUGUUGUUUUUGUCAUUUCAUGUAUCGUCAUUUGUUCUAUUAAAAACAUGAGUAACCAACA